UCAAAGAUUAAGCCAUGCAUGUCUCAGUACAAGCCAAAWUAAGGUGAAACCGCGAAAGGCUCAUUAAAUCAGUUAUGGUUCCUUAGAUCGUACCCACAAUUACUUGGAUAACUGUGGUAAUUCUAGAGCUAAUACAUGCAAACAGAGCUCCGACCGGAGACGGAAGGAGUGCUUUUAUUAGAUCAAAACCAAUCGGUGGCGGGUUCGCUCGUCAUCGUACAACUUGGUGACUCUGAAUAACUUUACGCUGAUCGCACGGUCAUCGCACCGGCGACGCAUCUUUCAAAUGUCUGCCUUAUCAACUGUCGAUGGUAGGUUCUGCGCCUACCAUGGUUGUAACGGGUAACGGGGAAUCAGGGUUCGAUUCCGGAGAGGGAGCCUGARAAACGGCUACCACAUCCAAGGAAGGCAGCAGGCGCGCAAAUUACCCACUCCCGGCACGGGGAGGUAGUGACRAAAAAUAACGAUACGGRACUCAUCCGAGGCCCCGUAAUCGGAAUGAKUACACUCUAA
rnacentral:rRNA from 1 species